AGCCAGUUCCACGAUAUCGAAAGAACACGUUCGCACAACUUUUACACGACAAACAGCUGAUUUCCGUUCCACUAAAAUCUAUCAGAACGAAAAUUUGCACGAAAAUCAAAGCGAACGAAAACGUAAGCAUUUCAGUGUAAUUUUGCGUUCCACUAUCUUUUUUCUUUCGUACGCAUGCGAACACAAAUGUCAAAAUCAGUCAUUUGUGUGUUUGCUAUCGUAUAAUAACAAUUAAGGAAAAUUGUUUUAACAUAAACAUUGCUUGAUUGAAAAUGGAAACAAAAAUCACGAAAAAAUCAUCAACUACACAGCUGCGGGCACUAGUUGAGUAAAUGGAGGAGAAUCCUGUGUUCGCCAGAGGAAUGCCAAUUUUUGGAAGCAGCAGUUUUAAAUCGGGGCGGAUUUGGGUAGUUCUGCAACCGGGCACACACUUCUCUUCCAUCAUAUCCAAAAGAGCCCGAAAACUUCCUUCGACACGCGAAAGUUGGCCACAAACCUAGAAAAAAUCAUUUUUUAUUAUUUCAAAAAUGUAAAAAUACAAUCAUACUUACUGGUUGUUAGGUACUUCAAAUAAAUUCGAAGCAUCUCUUAAAUUCCUCCGUG